rnacentral:rRNA from 1 species
AUACGAAGGGUGCAAGCGUUAAUCGGAAUUACUGGGCGUAAAGCGCGCGUAGGUGGUUCAGCAAGUUGGAUGUGAAAGCCCCGGGCUCAACCUGGGAACUGCAUCCAAAACUACUGAGCUAGAGUACGGUAGAGGGUGGUGGAAUUUCCUGUGUAGCGGUGAAAUGCGUAGAUAUAGGAAGGAACACCAGUGGCGAAGGCGACCACCUGGACUGAUCCUGACACUGAGGUGCGAAAGCGGGGGGAGCAAACAGGAUUAGAUACCCUGGUAGUCCACGCCGUAAACGAUGUCAACUAGUUGUUGGGUUCCUUGAGAACUUAGUAACGAAGCUAACGCGAUAAGUUGACCGCCUGGGGAGUACGGCCGCAAGGUUAAAACUCAAAGGAAUUGACGGGG